UGAUACAAAUAAUUGAAUUGAUAUUAAAUGACCACACAGUACACCUCAGUUACAAAAUUCAAAAGUAUUCUUUAUCAUUCGUUUGAGCAGGCGAUCUAGUGAUUUAUGGAAUCAGGUAUUGCAAAACCAUCUUUUGACUCUCAAAUCGAUGACGACCUGUUUUACUGGCAUUUUAACUGCUUUCACAUAGCGAACGUUGAAGCUCAGGAACCGUUGCUGUGAAUACAAACAUGUGUAUUUCACUGCUUCAGUUCGACUUUUAGACAAAGAAAUAUCCCAGAAAGAAAGCGAGAUUAAACCCACCAUUUGUUUAGGAAUAUGACUAUGCUAAAGUCAGGAAUGUGUCAGUUGUUUUUCUGCCGUUUUUUUAAUCAAUGUUUUUUUUCAACAAGGAUCUUUGUUUUAUAAACAUCUAUGACUGUGCAUAAAACUUAACGGAAAUCAGUUGAGACAAUCUAAACUUUAUGACAACAUAAAACUAAUGAAGAACAGACAGACAGACUUUUAUUUUUAUAAGAAAACUAGUUGGUGUAGUAUUAUAAAAUCAUCAGACCCAAUGGCAUUGAACCAUCAAUCUUUUCACAAACAAAAGUGAAGUGGAAUAAGUCAUGUAAAUCCAAUCUUUUUUGAUGUACCAAUUACAAAAAUAAAUCAUCACUUGUUUAAAGAAAGAUUUGAUUGUUUUUUAUGGACUUUUUGAAAUAAUGAAUAAGUGGCAACAAAUCUUUCGAGAUCCUUUUCACGAUCAUCAAAAUGCUGUACACGAUCUUUCACGAUCCAAAAUAUCAAUUUUAUACAAAUAUUACAGUUUUUGCAAAGUUUCUGAACAAAAAAAAAUCAUCAAAAUAACGAUAAGAACUAAUCAAGCAGUACUGUUGAAUGAUAUUGUUUAAGAAAAGUAGUUUAUGUACCGGUAUUAAAAA
rnacentral:lncRNA from 1 species